UGGGAACACAUUAGUCAACCUGCUCUAUCGAUAGGAAACAGUUAGGUGAAAAUAAGAAAAUUAGUAGGGCACGUACUCUAACAAGAACGAAAUAUGGAGACUUUAGCUUAGCACAUAGACCUUGUUAAUUGUUGUUGGUUUUUUUCUAUGCUAAUUUUACUUUGGGGAUCUUUUAGUCUGUUAGUGAGAUCCUAUUAAAGUUGAUAGUCGUAAAAACAAAGAAGCAGGGGGUCUGACUGUAACGCCUCAAAAUCUGAGUUCUCGAGACACCACACGGUGCUUUGAGCUAUAAGUAGUCCUUAGCUAAUCAUGGCUGCCUUCUACUAAAUCU
rnacentral:lncRNA from 1 species